rnacentral:rRNA from 1 species
UACGAAGGGUGGCAAACGUUGCUCGGAAUUAUUGGGCGUAAAGCGCACGUAGGCGGCUUAGCAAGUCCCAUGUGAAAUCCCGACGGCUUAACCGUGGAAGUGCAUGGGAAACUGCUGAGCUUGAGUACUUGAAGAGGAGUCGCGGAAUUCCCGGUGUAGAGGUGAAAUUCGUAGAUAUCGGGAGGAACACCAGUGGCGAAGGCGGCGAUCUGGGAAGAUACUGACGCUGAGGUGCGAAAGCGUGGGAGCAAACAGG